rnacentral:lncRNA from 1 species
GCUCCAGCAUUUCCACUCUAGGAAUGAGUCUAUCCCUCCAGGCCCCGUAGGCUACUCGAUACCGCACAAGCGAACAUAAGUCUCGUAGGCUAACUCCGGAGUGCCGGCUUGUAGGGAGUGACCCGUACAAGCAUGUGCGGAUGAGCACAAAUGGCAAGCAAGCAUGGUUAUCGUCUCAAGUACCCAAUCAUCAUGUCUCUAACAUGGUAACAGUCACUAGCAACCCAAAGGUCUAGUACUAUGUCUCAAUGUGAAGGUUUAACUGUUCAAUAAUUUCUAUGUCGAUGACCUUAGCUUUACGAAGUCCAAGUCUCAGGGUAAAGUUCCAACAUUCACUAUGUUUAGUGCCUCUUUAUGACACUUAAACAUUGCUAUAAUCUAAGCACACUUUGCAUUCUAUGCCUCUUUAUGGCACUACCUUAUUAGAUUCACACAUGUUCCAAGCCUAAUGCCACUUAAUGACAUUAGCUUAUUCUAUCAAUAAUAGGUUAAUACGCGCAACAGUCAACUUAGCAUAGUUCUCGUAAUGCUACAUGCAUGCACUUUCCAAUGCGACUACCCGCUUGCAUAACUCUCAUAAUAUUAACAUGCACAUGCAAUUCACUUAUCAUUCAAGUCUAAUGUCCCAUUAUGACAAUAAGUUAUUAAGUCCAUAUAUAUACCAAGCUUAAUGCCCCUUUAUGACAUUUGCUUGCUAAAUCCAUGUCUAGUCCAAAAUGCAAUACGCUCAUCAAUUUCACUAAAUGAAAUGUGAACCACAACCAAGUAUGAGAAUGCUAACCAUAGGCCCCUAGCCCAACAUGAAAACUCUCUACUACAUAAAGGUCAAAUAUGCAUCGUAUAUAACAUGUGCAUUUUAAGCCUUCUAAAAUUCUCAAAUAUUCUAUCUAGUAAGAAUAUACAUGCAUUUUCACUUUACGAUAAAUAAAAACCAUUAUAUGAGAAUUUUAUCUCGUUUUGGUGCGGCCAAACCCACUAAGUCUUCUCGAAGCCCUUCGUUUCACCGAAGCGAGAUGCCCACAAGCCUCCUAGCUCCCUAAAGAUUAAACUAGAGGUGUCACCCAAACGAAACGAACAACAACAAGCUCAAACAAUAACAAACUCAAGAUAAGGGCAAAAUUUCACCUAAGUGUAGAAAAUCCCGUUCAAGCUCCAAAUGGGAGCUAGAUCCCUGCCAAACCAACCUAGGGGAAGGUUCUAAACCGAUCGAUUGAGCUCCAAAAGCCCUAGAUCAAAAAUCCCCAAAACAAACCCUAAAUCCUCAUUUCUAGGGUUUGUAUACAAAAAUCAUAAAAAUCAUGAUAGAAAGGAAAAUAGUAAGCAACUAACCUCUCAUGAAGUCUCAAACAAGGUUCAAAAUCCACAAGAGUCGAAGAUCUCACCUCCAACAAGCUCAACUCCAAGCUCCCAAGCUUCUCCCAAGGUGGAAAUGCACCAAGAGGGAAAGAGAGAGGGAUUAAACCUUCAAAAUCCAAGCAAAAAGGGAAGGAAAUCAAAAGAGGAGAAGAGAAGGACUCCCCACCUUGUCCUCCUGUGUUUCCCAGCUCAGAAGACCAGCAAAGGGGCGUGAGUGGUAUUACAGAGAUACUACAAUAGCAAAAACACCCCUGCAGUUCAAACUGCUCAAAACUGCCACUGCGUACCGGUACACGGGCUCACGUACCGGUACACAUCCCACGAAAUAGCCAAACCCGAGCCUCGGGUUGGCUGAGAAGCAGCCAAUGUUGAUGGCUGUACCGGUACAGCCAUCACCCCGUACCGGUACAUAGCCCUCUGAAGGCUACCCGAGAGCUAACCAAAAAUUCGAUCUUUUCGGGUUUUGGU